rnacentral:rRNA from 1 species
CAGGCUUAACACAUGCAAGUCGAGGGGCAGCAUGGUCUUAGCUUGCUAAGGCCGAUGGCGACCGGCGCACGGGUGAGUAACACGUAUCCAACCUGCCGUCUACUCUUGGACAGCCUUCUGAAAGGAAGAUUAAUACAAGAUGGCAUCAUGAGUCCGCAUGUUCACAUGAUUAAAGGUAUUCCGGUAGACGAUGGGGAUGCGUUCCAUUAGAUAGUAGGCGGGGUAACGGCCCACCUAGUCUUCGAUGGAUAGGGGUUCUGAGAGGAAGGUCCCCCACAUUGGAACUGAGACACGGUCCAAACUCCUACGGGAGGCAGCAGUGAGGAAUAUUGGUCAAUGGGCGAGAGCCUGAACCAGCCAAGUAGCGUGAAGGAUGACUGCCCUAUGGGUUGUAAACUUCUUUUAUAAAGGAAUAAAGUCGGGUAUGCAUACCCGUUUGCAUGUACUUUAUGAAUAAGGAUCGGCUAACUCCGUGCCAGCAGCCGCGGUAAUACGGAGGAUCCGAGCGUUAUCCGGAUUUAUUGGGUUUAAAGGGAGCGUAGAUGGAUGUUUAAGUCAGUUGUGAAAGUUUGCGGCUCAACCGUAAAAUUGCAGUUGAUACUGGAUAUCUUGAGUGCAGUUGAGGCAGGCGGAAUUCGUGGUGUAGCGGUGAAAUGCUUAGAUAUCACGAAGAACUCCGAUUGCGAAGGCAGCCUGCUAAGCUGCAACUGACAUUGAGGCUCGAAAGUGUGGGUAUCAAACAGGAUUAGAUACCCUGGUAGUCCACACGGUAAACGAUGAAUACUCGCUGUUUGCGAUAUACAGCAAGCGGCCAAGCGAAAGCGUUAAGUAUUCCACCUGGGGAGUACGCCGGCAACGGUGAAACUCAAAGGAAUUGACGGGGGCCCGCACAAGCGGAGGAACAUGUGGUUUAAUUCGAUGAUACGCGAGGAACCUUACCCGGGCUUAAAUUGCAGAUGAAUUACGGUGAAAGCCGUAAGCCGCAAGGCAUCUGUGAAGGUGCUGCAUGGUUGUCGUCAGCUCGUGCCGUGAGGUGUCGGCUUAAGUGCCAUAACGAGCGCAACCCUUGUUGUCAGUUACUAACAGGUUCCGCUGAGGACUCUGACAAGACUGCCAUCGUAAGAUGUGAGGAAGGUGGGGAUGACGUCAAAUCAGCACGGCCCUUACGUCCGGGGCUACACACGUGUUACAAUGGGGGGGUACAGAGGGCCGCUACCACGCGAGUGGAUGCCAAUCCCAAAAACCUCUCUCAGUUCGGACUGGAGUCUGCAACCCGACUCCACGAAGCUGGAUUCGCUAGUAAUCGCGCAUCAGCCACGGCGCGGUGAAUACGUUCCCGGGCCUUGUACACACCGCCCGUCAAGCCAUGGGAGCCGGGGGUACCUGAAGUGCGUAACCGCGAGGAGCGCCCUAGGGUAAAACUGGUGACUGGGGC